rnacentral:rRNA from 1 species
AGCAGCCGCCGCGGGAAUACGUAGGUGGCGAGCGUUGUCCGGAAUCAUUGGGCGUAAAGGGAGCGCAGGCGGGCAUGUAAGUCUUUCUUAAAAGUUCGGGGCUCAACCCCGUGAUGGGAAAGAAACUACAUGUCUUGAGUACAGGAGAGGAAAGCGGAAUUCCCAGUGUAGCGGUGAAAUGCGUAGAUAUUGGGAGGAACACCAGUGGCGAAGGCGGCUUUCUGGACUGCAACUAACGCUGAGGCUCGAAAGCCAGGGGAGCGAACGGGAUUAGAUACCCCAGUAGUCCCUGUCUCUUAUACA